CCCAGUAGCGGCGAGCGAACGGGGAGCAGCCCAGAGUCUGAAUCAGCAUGUGUGUUAGUGGAACGGUCUGGAAAGUCCGACGGUACAGGGUGAUAGUCCCGUACACAAAAAUGCACAUGUUGUGAACUCGAAGAGUAGGGCGGGACACGUGGUAUCCUGUCUGAAUAUGGGGGGACCAUCCUCCAAGGCUAAAUACUCCUGACUGACCGAUAGUGAACCAGUACCGUG
rnacentral:rRNA from 1 species